CCCCUUAGAGUUUGAUCCUGGCUCAGAUUGAACGCUGGCGGCGUGCCUAACACAUGCAAGUCGAGCGGUAACAGGUGUAGCAAUACAUGCUGACGAGCGGCGGACGGGUGAGUAACGCUUGGGAAUCUGCCUGUUAGUGGGGGACAACCCGGGGAAACUCGGGCUAAUACCGCAUACGCACUACGGUGGAAAGCCGGGGACCGCAAGGCCUGGCGCUAACAGAUGAGCCCAAGUCGGAUUAGCUAGUUGGUAGGGUAAUGGCCUACCAAGGCUACGAUCCGUAACUGGUCUGAGAGGACGACCAGUCACACCGGAACUGAGACACGGUCCGGACUCCUACGGGAGGCAGCAGUGGGGAAUAUUGGACAAUGGGGGAAACCCUGAUCCAGCGACGCCGCGUGGGUGAAGAAGGCCUGCGGGUUGUAAAGCCCUUUCAGUGGGGAAGAAAAGCCUCGAGUUAACACCUCGGGGUCUUGACGUAACCCAUAGAAGAAGCACCGGCUAACUCUGUGCCAGCAGCCGCGGUAAUACAGAGGGUGCGAGCGUUAAUCGGAAUUACUGGGCGUAAAGCGCGCGUAGGCGGCUUUGCAAGUCGGGUGUGAAAUCCCCAGGCUUAACCUGGGAACUGCAUUCGAGACUGCAUUGCUAGAGUAUGGGAGAGGGAAGUGGAAUUUCAGUGUAGCGGUGAAAUGCGUAGAUAUCUGAAGGAACAUCAGUGGCGAAAGCGACUUCCUGGACCAAUACUGACGCUCAUGUGCGAAAGCGUGGGGAGCAAACAGGAUUAGAUACCCUGGUAGUCC
rnacentral:rRNA from 1 species